GAUGAACGCUGACAGCAUGCUUAACACAUGCAAGUCAACUUGAAUUUGGGUUUUUUAACUUAGAUUUGGGUGGCGGACGGGUGAGUAACGCGUAAAGAACUUGCCUCACAGCUAGGGACAACAUUUGGAAACGAAUGCUAAUACCUGAUAUUAUGAUUAUAAGGCAUCUUAGAAUUAUGAAAGCUAUAUGCGCUGUGAGAGAGCUUUGCGUCCCAUUAGCUAGUUGGAGAGGUAACGGCUCACCAAGGCGAUGAUGGGUAGCCGGCCUGAGAGGGUGAACGGCCACAAGGGGACUGAGACACGGCCCUUACUCCUACGGGAGGCAGCAGUGGGGAAUAUUGGACAAUGGACCAAGAGUCUGAUCCAGCAAUUCUGUGUGCACGAUGACGUUUUUCGGAAUGUAAAGUGCUUUCAGUUGGGAAGAAAAAAAUGACGGUACCAACAGAAGAAGUGACGGCUAAAUACGUG
rnacentral:rRNA from 1 species